rnacentral:rRNA from 1 species
ACGGACAUACCACAUUGAAAACACCGGUUCUCGUCCGAUCACCGAAGUUAAGCAAUGUCAGUACUUGGGAGGGUGACCACCUAGGAACACCGGGUGCUGUAGGCU